rnacentral:rRNA from 1 species
AUUGAACGCUGGCGGCAGGCCUAACACAUGCAAGUCGAACGAGUGGCGGACGGGUGAGUAAUGUCUGGGAAACUGCCUGAUGGAGGGGGAUAACUACUGGAAACGGUAGCUAAUACCGCAUACCAUCGGAUGUGCCCAGUGGGGAAUAGCUAGUAGGUGGGGUAAAGGCUCACCUAGGCGACGAUCCCUGGCUGGUCUGAGAGGCUGAGCAGCCACACUGGAAAUGAGAAACGGUCCAGACUCCUACGGUAGGCAGCAGUGGGGAAGAUUGCACAUGGGGCGCAAGCCGUAUGCAGCCAUGCCGCGUGUAUGAAGAAGGCCUUCGGGUUGUAAAGUACUGUCAGCGGGGAGGCGUUACCCGCAGAAGAAGCACCGGCUAACUCCAUGCCAGCAGCCGCGGUAAUUC